rnacentral:rRNA from 1 species
AUAAAAAUCAACUUUGUUGGUGAAUCAUAAUAACUUCUCGGACCGCAUGGCCUCGUGCUGGCGGUGCUUCAUUCAAAUAUCUGCCCUAUCAACUGUCGAUGGUAGGAUAGAGGCCUACCAUGGUUGCAACGGGUAACGGGGAAUAAGGGUUCGAUUCCGGAGAGGGAGCCUGAGAAACGGCUACCACAUCCAAGGAAGGCAGCAGGCGCGCAAAUUACCCAAUCCCGACACGGGGAGGUAGUGACAAUAUGUAACAAUAUACGGCCUUAUACGUCGUAUAAUUGGAAUGAGUACAAUUUAAAUCCCUUAACGAGGAACAAUUGGAGGGCAAGUCUGGUGCCAGCAGCCGCGGUAAUUCCAGCUCCAAUAGCGUAUAUUAAAGUUGUUGCAGUUAAAAAGCUCGUAGUUGGACCUUGGACCUGGACAGGCGGUCCGCCUCACGGCGAGUACUGUCUUGCUGGGUCUUUCCUCUUGGUGAUCUGUUGUUUCGGCAG